UACGGGGGGAGCAAGCGUUGUUCGGAUUUACUGGGCGUAAAGGGCGCGUAGGCGGUCAGCACAAGUCAGUUGUGAAAUCUCCGGGCUUAACUCGGAAAGGUCAACUGAUACUGUGCGACUAGAGUGCGGAAGGGGCAACUGGAAUUCUCGGUGUAGCGGUGAAAUGCGCAGAUAUCAGGAGGAACACCGGUGGCGAAGGCGGGUCUCUGGGCCGAAAUUGACGCUGAGGAGCGAAAGCGUGGGGAGCAAACAGG
rnacentral:rRNA from 1 species